rnacentral:sRNA from 1 species
GCCAGGCGCCAUGGCCCACGCCUGUAAUCCCAGUGGCUUGGGAAGCUGAGGCAGGAGGAUCACGAGUUCAAAGCCAGCCUCAGCAGUGGUGAGGCCCUAAGCAACUCCCUGAGAUCCUGUCUCUA